CCCUUAGAUGUUCUGGGCCGCACGCGCGCUACACUGACGGAGGCAGCGAGCAUGUCCUUCGCCGAGAGGUGUGGGGAAUCUUGUGAGUCUCCGUCGUGCUGGGGAUAGAUGGUUGCAAUUGUCGAUCUUGAACGAGGAAUUCCUAGUAAGCGCGAGUCAUCAGCUCGCGCUGAUUACGUCCCUGCCCUUUGUACACACCGCCCGUCGCUACUACCGAUUGGAUGGCUUAGCGAGAAUUUUGGAUCGGAGCCCGGGUGGUCGGCAACGGUCGCCCGGGAGAUCUGAGAAAUCAUUCCAGCUUGGUCAUCUAGAGGAAGUAAAUGUCGUAACA
rnacentral:rRNA from 1 species